UACAAAACACCAAUCGUUCCAUCCUUCCCUUCCAUAUACCAGAAGGGAUCAAAUCAUAUCGAAUAUUUUCAUAACAAAAAUCUUCCAUAAACACCAAUCUUUCCAUCCUCCCCUCUCACGAUUCUUUCCAUACAGAUGCUCCCUCCCGCAUUCGUUUAUUUCCUUCCAAUUAUACCAGGAUUUUUUUCCAGCUUCUGUUCCUCAAAAAAUUUCUCACGAUCAAGGCCCCUGCCCUUCCUUAUCUACCCACAAAUCUCGUGCCCCUCUCCCAGGUCAGGUUCCGGAGCCGGGUCGUCGCCGCGGAGUACGUCGAUGCGGAGCCGGAGGGCGCGGAGGACCGGUGGGAGAGGUGGAACGGCAACGGCGAGGCCUUCGGCGACGGCUCGGGUGUGUGGCGCCUCACUGUGGGCCACUGGGGCGCCGGCGAGCAGGAGCCAGAGACGGAGGAGGUGCAUGAGUCCGACUUCCUGAUCCUCUGCAUCGGCAGUUUCAGCGGCAUGCCCAACAUCCCAGCGGUGUCCCCAGGCCCGGAGGCGUUCCGCGGGCGGGUGCUCCUGCAUGGAGCUCUCCCACAUGGCCGACGAGGACGCCACCGCGCUGGUUAAGGGGAAGCGCAUCACCAUCAUGGGGUCCGGCAAGUUGGCCUUCGAGAUCGCCGCCGAGUGCGCCGACGCCAAUGGCGCGGGGACGCCGUGCACGAUGUUGUGCCAGAACCCUCAUUGGCUGCUACCAUCGGGUACCUCUACAUGAACCAAAGAACGCAUUUUAUUCUAACUGUUAGUCUGCUAUAUCCACGAGCUCACUGACGCCAGACCAGCAAGCAGCCUAGAUUGAAUGGCAGUGAGCUCCAAGUUCAACUGAUUAUAUAAUGCUGCACGUGAUCUGCGCCACCCCCACACGAUCCGCUACCAUAUCAAUGAUUGUGUAUCUGUAUUUAUUUAUCUACAAAUCGUUGUACUGUUGUGCUUUUGUUAAGCAGAUACAUGCAUGGCAGGGGGAAGUUGAGCGAGCAUGGCAAAGCCAAAGAUAUCUUCCUUGGAGCUACCAUUUAAUUCAUAAGAUGUCAAGUAAUAGCUUGAAGUUUAGGUGAUAAAAAUGCUAAUAUGAUGAUCAGGUCAGGUAUAAUAUCAUAGAAAAUGUAAAAAAAAUAUCAUUGGAGUUGUUUUCAUUAUAGUAAUCAGAAUGCUUUGUCUUGCACCAUUAUUUGUUGAACAUCUUUAUUUGUAGGAUGUAGGCUGAGUUUCAGAAGAUGAGAGUUGAAAUGGCUGGAAUGAGAACAAAAAAAUGGUAGCUUGGUCUUUACAAUUGCAGUUUCAAUUCCUUAUUUGAGUCUAACUCAGGUGUUUCAUAGACUUUCCAAAAUAUCUAUUUUUGAACCUUACUGAAGUUGGCCUCUUACUGAGGAAAAAAGUCUAUGAAUGGAUCAUCUGAAAAACAAGACGUUACAGUUCCUUAAAAUUAAAAGUGAAAUUGCUUGCCAAAUACAGUAACAGGUAACUCCAAUAUUUGUUGGAAUGAGAUAACGUAUGCCAGGUGAAUAUUUGUAGAGUUACCUGUUAGGGUUCUGUUUAGUCUGUUAUGUUUCCCUCUAAUUUUUUUAUUGCUUAGCUAGGGUAGAUAUUUUUAGUCUGUUAUGUUUCCUUGAUUUUUAAUUUUUUUGCUUAGCUAGGUUAGAUAUUUGUUUCCAGGUGUUACAACAUGGCUUAGCACCUACUACAUCAACGUUUCUCUGCUCCAAUUCUUACCGUCCCACAUCUCAAAGAAUUUGUGUGGUAGUCCCUAUCAUGAAAAAAAGUAGAACAAUUUCUAGCUUUCAUAUGCAUUUGUUUAUGCUGUAAUGUUUAAGAAUGAAGCAUUGAUCAAGGCCCCACAAAGGUGAUGUAGUGAUAUCGUGAUGUUCUAUACGCUAAUUGGAUGCAGGUGACAUGUCUCUCCUUUUCAAUUUCUCUUAUCGCAGGUUUGAUCGGAUGGAAUUCACACACUUGGAUCGAAGGAUUUGUGAUAUCAUUAGUUGUCACAUGGAAUGGGUAUGAUCUACAAAUUUGAUCUGGGAAUGAAUGGCUAUGUACUGGUUAUGCCAAUAGGAUGAUAAAGGCAAGGAAGAAGGUGGAUGGAGCGCCGAGGAACAUGAUAAGGAAGGGGUCGGAUGAGAGAGGAGAGAAGAGUAGGGUGAAGGACGAGAUGGAGGGAAAGAGGGACAAGGACAUGGUGAACGGAGUUUCUUGAGGCGGAGGGUGGGGGCUUCUCGGAGGAGGAGAUGUUGGACUUCUCCUUGUCCUAGCUUGUUGCUGCCUUGCUGGGUAGGGGCCAGUCUGUCCUCAUGAGGUUGUUGUCAAAUUCCUCACCGAGACUUCAGUGAUGCUGGGACAACUCAAGCAUGAAAUGUUAUGGUAGUUUGUUUGGGAAAUUGUAAAUUCUUGUGCAUGUGUGGUAGAGUACAUUGGAAAAUAAGGUCGGGCAGUGGGAGGAUUUGUCAACCAGUUUCAUACUCUUAUUAUAAUUGGGGGUUAGGUUAGCAUUUUGUACAGCAGCUCACGUCUAAAAGAAAAUUUUAAG